rnacentral:rRNA from 1 species
UACGUAGGGGGCAAACGUUGUCCGGAUUUACUGGGUGUAAAGGGUGCUCAGGCGGUCUUGUAAGUCAGAUGUGAAAGCCCCGGGCUCAACCUGGGAACUGCAUUUGAAACUGGCGGGCUUGAGUAUGGCAGAGGGGGGUGGAAUUCCGCGUGUAGCAGUGAAAUGCGUAGAGAUGCGGAGGAACACCGAUGGCGAAGGCAGCCCCCUGGGCCAAUACUGACGCUCAGGCACGAAAGCGUGGGGAGCAAACAGG